AGGAAAAGAGAAGGAAGAGAUUCAGAGGCAUCUAAAUAUCAUUAAGGACAGCUUUUACAGAGAUCUGAAAAGGAUGUCUUGCACCUUCCUGACAGCAGUUUUACAGGGUCGACUCAACAGGAGGAGUUGUUAAAGAUCACAGACCCUCAAGCGGCUCUCCAGAAUGUGCUUGCUAUUCAGAGCAGCAAAGAGAUGCAGAACAUGCUGGCUUUCCUGGA